UUCAAGAGGCUGUCCUCCAGUGAACUGUGAUUGCACCACUGCACUCUAGCCUGGACAACAGAGCAAGACCCUGUCUCUUAAAUAAAAGAAAAGGGAACUUGUGAAGCCAUUACUGCAACUAUGCCAGUGGGCAUGAAAACUUUACACUUUUUGCGAAAUACAAAGUAUGUGUUAAUGGACUGUUUAUGUUAUGGGUAAGGCUUCAGAUCAAUGGCAGACUAUUAGUAGUUAAGUUUCAGGAGAGUCAAAAGUUAUAUACAGAUUUUGAGCUGCAUGGUGUGGGAAUCCCCACAUUGUUCAAGGGUCAACUGUACUUUAAAAGAAGUAUACCGGACCUUGAGCCCUCAGGAACGAGAUGGCGGUUGUCUGGAGGCUGAGUGCCCUUUGCGGUGCCCAAGGAGGCCGAGCUCUGUUGCUGUGAACCCCAGUGGUCAGACCUGCUCAUAUCUCAGCAUUUCUUCAGGACCGACCUAUCCCAGAAUGGUGUGGAGUGCAGCACAUUCACUUGUCACCCAGGCACCAUUCUGGUUCCAAGGCUGCAUCUCUCCACUGGACUAGCGAGAGGGUUGUCAGUGUUUUGUUCCUGGGUCUGCUUCCGGCUGCUUAUUUGAAUCCUUGCUCUGCGAUGGACUAUUCCCCUGGCUGCAGCCCUCACUCUUCAUGGUCACUGGGGCCUUGGACAAGUUGUUACUGACUAUGUUCAUGGGGAUGCCUUGCAGAAAGAUGCCAAGGCAGGGCUUUUGGCACUUUCAGCUUUAACCUUUGCUGGACUUUGCUAUUUCAACUAUCACGACAUGGGCAUCUGCAAAGCUGUUGCCAUGCUGUGGAAGCUCUGACCUUUUUGACUUCAUACUUUGAAGAAUUGAUGUAUGCCUCUUUGCCUCUGCUUUGUCAUGCCAUUCAGCUCACAAUAAGGAA